UAGGGAAUCUUCGGCAAUGGACGAAAGUCUGACCGAGCAACGCCGCGUGAGUGAAGAAGGUUUUCGGAUCGUAAAACUCUGUUGUUAGAGAAGAACAAGGACGUUAGUAACUGAACGUCCCCUGACGGUAUCUAACCAGAAAGCCACGGCUAACUACGUGCCAGCAGCCGCGGUAAUACGUAGGUGGCAAGCGUUGUCCGGAUUUAUUGGGCGUAAAGCGAGCGCAGGCGGUUUCUUAAGUCUGAUGUGAAAGCCCCCGGCUCAACCGGGGAGGGUAAUUGGAAACUGGGAGACUUGAGGGCAGAAGAGGAGAGUGGAAUUCCAUGUGUAGCGGUGAAAUGCGUAGAUAUAUGGAGGAACACCAGUGGCGAAGGCGGCUCUCUGGUCUGUAACUGACGCUGAGGCUCGAAAGCGUGGGGAGCAAACAGG
rnacentral:rRNA from 1 species